rnacentral:tRNA from 1 species
GCCUGGGUGGCUCAGUCAGUUGAGCGUCUGACUUCAGCUCAGGUCAUGAUCUCAUACUCCCUGAGUUCGAGCCCCACCUUGGGCU